AGUCCACCUCAAACCCAUUUUUGUGCUUUUAAAACCAUUGCUGAACUAUUUUUGCUUUGUAUCAGGGAGCAUUAUCCUGUGGAAAGAAGUCACAGCCAUCAGGGAAUACAGCUUUCAUUAAAGGGUGUACAUGAUCUGCAGCAGUGCUUUGGUGUUCCCCUAGGUAAGAGAUGCACAUGGACCUGGUCAUCCACUUGAUGUUUCCCAGUGCUCUGUGGUCCAGUUUUGAUGCUCACUGUCAUGGUCCAGUUCCUGGACUCACUUUGACUUAAGCUUGAAGCUUAAGCUUCUCUCUUGGACUCAGGAUACCUUACCCCCAUCUUGGAUAUCACUCUGUGCCCUCCUCCCACCUCACACCAUCAGGAACCUCCAAAUGUCAGUGACUUUGAGCACCACCCGAACCACAACCUGCACCCCAGAUUCCCCUUUAGCUCCCGGUUCAUGUACACCACUCCUAGAGUCUGAUAUCCACCAUAGCUCACAGCUCAUGUUUGGUAUUCUAAGCAUUAAAUCAUUGUAUGUAAAUAAAGCAUUG